AAAAAACAAUGCCAUCCAUGAAUUUCAAGUGUACUUCCAACAAGGCGAUUGAUCAUUUCAACCCAGGAGCUACGUUGAUGAAAAUCUCUGGGUAUGUUGAUACUCUGGAAGGGUUGAAAGAAUUGCCGAAUUCACCAUCAAAAUGGCUUUGUAAAUGAAUUAUUAAUAACAACGCUGGUCGAAGAAUUCGCCUUCUCUUCUGGGGGGAUGACGCAUGAAAUUCAACAAAGAGAUUCUCAUGUACCAGGUUUUGAAGAUAACUGGUGGAAUAAUCAGAGCUUCUAACCCUCGAUUCCGCACAUCUGGAGACACCGUCUGUGAGAAUGAGUUUCAAUAUUGGACCUGGAAGUGAAUUAGAAGUUUUGGGACAGUUUGACGUAGCAAAUGGUGCUACUGAGAAAACGAACAAAACCAUUCAUUACGAGUCAAUUGAAAUGGAAAAUAUUUAUGCUGCUCGCGGUUCCGUUAUGGUGACAGGAUGGAUUAAGGAGCACUUCAGGGGUAUUAGCACAUCCACUGGUGCCAGCUAC